GAGCUUUUAACCCCAAAUGAACCUAAUAACUUAUAACACAAAGAGUGAUGCUUAAUGGCCAUAAAAAUGGACAAAUCUUGAAAUUAUGGUUUAAAAUUCACUGCCACUGGCUGCCUUUUAGCAACAAUGAUCUCCUAAUGGAAAUGACACUCAAGAGCUGCACACAUUCAUCAGCUCAUCUUAUCUAGAAAUCAUUUGGUGAAUGCACAGGAAAUGGUUAAAUCUUUGAAAACAGAACUUCAGCACGUUUGCACUAAACAAACAAAUGCUAGCGACAGACAUGAAAAGCCUUAAGAAUGUCUGAACAUGCAAGAUACUGCUCAGCCUUCUGCUUUAUCUUCACCAUUGACUGUUUGUUGGUGACGCAUGUAAAGGCACAAGACUCUUCCAGUGAUGAAACAGAAAUCAAAUAUGCCGUCAUAGGAGCAGGAAUUGGCCUUUUCUUUUCCAUCUGCUUUCUGCUAAUCAAAAUGUACAUCAUCAAAAAGCAGGUGCAUGACAUUGAACUCUCAGGUAAGUGUUUUCCUAUAAAUCUGAUUUAAAAAAUGAACAAUCUUAGAUUUAAUCAAAUCAAACAAAAUCUUCGUUAUUUUUAACACUUGGAUAUUUUUAAAGACACGUCACUAAGAAGAGCAUCCCCACGGUAAGAACAUUUUUAUAUGCAAAUUACACUUUGCCAUAUCACUAUAAUCAUUAUAUAGUCUAUAUAGUUAUAAAACUUUUGAAUGAUUUGAAUGUGAAUCUCAUAAAAUGAUGAUCUCUGUUUUUAAGGAUCAUUGAUAUGGAGAGCAGGAGGGAAUGAAAUGUCUUCUGAGGAUGAAUUAUUACAGUUCUUUGUCAUUCUAUGGCAAUUUGAUACAGUUUUAUUUAUUAAAUGGUGACCAGUUUAUUCCUAUAAAACAAAUGAUUGUAAAAUCAGCAGAUUGGUGCCAUUGCUGUGCCUUCAUGAGGCCAUACCUGCUUAAAUGUGAAUAAUAAAUAUACUGUACCCGGAGCUAUAUAUUAAUUA
ensembl:lncRNA